CCUUGUACACACCGCCCGUCACACCAUGGGAGUUGGUUCUACCUUAAGACGGUGCGCUAACCGCAAGGAAGCAGCCGGCCACGGUAGGGUCAGCGACUGGGGUG
rnacentral:rRNA from 1 species